UGGUUACUGUGCACUGAUAAGAUAUCGCUUCAACUAGAUCUGUCUGGCGCAUGCAGACACACACUCACUCACACACACACACACACACACACACACACACACACACACACACACACACACACACGAAAACAAUCAUCCAUAGAAACUCAUCCCCCUCCCUGUCUGUCUGGCUGUCUCCACUUCCUCCUCCACCGCCACCACUACUACCUCCUCCUCCUCCUCCUCCUGCUCCUCCUCCUCUCCCGCAGACAGGAAGUAAGACUCGAGAAGGAAGAGGAGACUGACACAGGAAUAAAAUGAAGAUAAUACUACACCUUCCUCCAUACCUGUCUCAUUCCCCCCUCCACACCCCCUCCAGCCGCUCCACCGUGCCCGUACAGUUACCUCCUGUCAAUCAGUAAUCACUCUCACCUGCCCGCCCCACUAAUUAGCUACGCCGGCCUCUGAUUGGACGGACACACCUGGUCAGCUCUCCAUUGUCCUCCUAACAAUCCCUUAUGUACAGCAGGAGAAUAUCAAGUGAGAGAUGUCAAAGGGAGAACUGAGAUCCCACCUUACUGAGAGCCAGCUAGGUACAGUGACACAAGAAUGGUUGAGUAGAGGGCGUGGUGUGCUGUAGUCUUUGUCAUUGAUGCUGGCUAUUAAAGACAACUGGGAAAGCUAGGGAAAAUAAUGAUAAAUGUGGAUUAUUACUAUUAUUUCUUACUUUAUUGUUUUUUUUUAAUUUCAAUGUAUAAUCUGAAAGUGUUGGUUGGAAAUUAAUAUAUGAAUAUGGAGUAUUAUUGUUAUUUCUUAUUAUAUUUUAUCGAAUUUAAUGCAUAAUUUGAGUGUGAGCUGGAAAUAAAUAAGUACAUAAA